CUGCUUUGGGAUUCGACUAGCCUGCGAGUCGAGAGGGUUCGGCCCUCGGCUGACGGCUCAGUAACACGUGGAUAAUCUGCCCUUAGGUGGAGGAUAAUCUCGGGAAACUGAGGAUAAUACUCCAUAGAUCUAGGAUGCUGGAAUGCAUUUAGAUUGAAAGCUCCGGCGCCUAAGGAUGAGUCUGCGGACUAUCAGGUUGUAGUCAGGAUAAAGACCUGACUAGCCUAUGACGGAUACGGGUUGUGAGAGCAAUAACCCGGAGACGAUAUCUGAGACACGAUAUCGGGCCCUACGGGGCGCAGCAGGCGCGAAAACUUCACACUGUGCGAAAGCGCGAUGAGGGAAUCCCAAGUGCUUGCUCGUAAGAGUAAGCUGUUUCUUUGUCUAAAAAGCAGAGAGAGUAAGGGCUGGGUAAGACGGGUGCCAGCCGCCGCGGUAAUACCUGCAGCUCAAGUGGUGAUCAUUAUUAUUGGGCCUAAAACGUCCGUAGCCGGUUUAGUAAAUGCCUGGGUAAAUCGUGUAGCUUAACUAUACGAAUUCCGGGUAGACUGCUAAACUUGAGACCCGGGAGAGGCUAGAGGUACUCCUUGGGGUAGAGGUGAAAUUCUGUAAUCCUANGGGGACCCCANUGGCCAANGCCUUCUAGCUUAGAACGGGUCUGACGGUGANGGACCAANCCUGGGGCGCAAACCGGAUUAGAUCCCGGGUAGUCCAGGGUGUAAACCCUGUU
rnacentral:rRNA from 1 species